rnacentral:rRNA from 1 species
UACAUAGGGGUCAAGCGUUGUCCGGAUUUACUGGGCGUAAAGGGCUCGUAGGCGGUCCACUAAGUCGGAAUUUAAAGGCAGGAGCUCAACUUCUGUUCGAUUUCGAAACUGGUGAACUAGAGAUUUAGAGAGGAAGAUGGAAUUAACAGUGUAGCGGUGAAAUGCGUAGAUAUUGUUAAGAACACCCGUGGCGAAGGCGGUCUUCUGGCUAAAAUCUGACGCUGAGGAGCGAAAGCGUGGGGAGCAAACAGGAUUAGAUACCCUGGUAGUCCACGCUGUAAACGAUGUACAUUAGGUAUGGGAGGUAUCGACCCCUUCUGUGCCGCAGCUAACGCGUUAAAUGUACCGCCUGGGGAGUACGGUCGCAAGAUUAAA